CGGCGGACGGGUGAGUAACGCGUGGGUAACCCGCCUCAUACAGGGGGAGUAACAGUUGGAAACGGCUGCUAAUACCGCAUAAGCGCACAGUACCGCAUGGUACCGUGUGAAAAACUCCGGUGGUAUGAGAUGGACCCGCGUCUGAUUAGGUAGUUGGUGGGUAACGGCCUACCAAGCCGACGAUCAGUAGCCGACCUGAGAGGGUGACCGGCCACAUUGGGACUGAGACACGGCCCAAACUCCUACGGGAGGCAGCAUG
rnacentral:rRNA from 1 species